rnacentral:tRNA from 1 species
AGGGGUAUAGUUAAUUAUAACAUUUGGUUUGCAACCAAAAAGUAUUGAUUUAAUCAAUUAUUCUUA